rnacentral:lncRNA from 1 species
GCUUUAUCACUCUGAGAGAUGUCCUCGUCUUUUUCUGGACAUCCAUCUUCUUCAGCCUUUUCAUCCACAGACUUAACGGCUUUGCCCACCUCAUCACUCUCAGCUUUAUCUUUUAAAGGUUCCUCAGAAUGUUUGAUGGGUUUUGCCCCUUCACUUACUGGGUCAGCAUUCACCUUAUUUUGAGCGGUCUCAUUCCCAGCAGUAGUUUCAACGACCAAAUCAUUCACAUUGCUUUCUCCAUGCUUCUUAUCAGCAUCAUUUUCAGAUUCCUUAGUCACAUCAGAAGCAACAUCUUUAAUAUCACUUGAAGCUUUCUCAAUUGAAGUUGCUCCUACUACUGUACCCGACUGAGGAACUGCUGUUGGACCACUUGGUGAA